rnacentral:rRNA from 1 species
UGGGCGCAAGCCUGAUCCAGCCAUGCCGCGUGUGUGAAGAAGGCCUUUUGGUUGUAAAGCACUUUAAGCGAGGAGGAGGCUACUUGGAUUAAUACUCUAGGAUAGUGGACGUUACUCGCAGAAUAAGCACCGGCUAACUCUGUGCCAGCAGCCGCGGUAAUACAGAGGGUGCGAGCGUUAAUCGGAUUUACUGGGCGUAAAGCGUGCGUAGGCGGCUUUUUAAGUCGGAUGUGAAAUCCCUGAGCUUAACUUAGGAAUUGCAUUCGAUACUGGGAAGCUAGAGUAUGGGAGAGGAUGGUAGAAUUCCAGGUGUAGCGGUGAAAUGCGUAGAGAUCUGGAGGAAUACCGAUGGCGAAGGCAGCCAUCUGGCCUAAUACUGACGCUGAGGUACGAAAG